rnacentral:lncRNA from 1 species
AAAAAACAAAAACAAAAACAAAAACAAACAACAACAACAACAAGAAUUUAGCACAGUGUCUGGCAUGUGGAAAGCACUCUAUAAAUGUUAGCUAUUUUACUAUUUCAUCACAGAUUCUUAUAGGACAGUGGCCACCACUUACGUAUGUACUCCAGAAUCUGACACACUGUAAGCAUUUAACAUUAAAUAAUCCAAAAUAUAAUAGCUAGUUAUGGUUUUACCAAAAACAAAAUUUAGGUCAUUAUUAAACAAAAAUGCUAAGGAUCAGGCAUAUGGCACGUUUCCUAAAGCAUCCUGUAUAGAACCAUCUCUACCAUUCAGUAAAUUAUAGAAGAGGAAAUUGUUUUCUUCCGUAUGAAGCUUUAUGGAAAUCAUGACUAACAAUGCAUUGUAUUCUAGAUAUUUACUUUUAUUACUCUGAGAGUAUCUGUGACCAACAGUGGAAAUACAAGCAAAAGGAUGUGCACAGGAAUUUUAGGACAGUCUGUCUUAACACCUUAGCAGCAAACAGAACUUGUACUCCUCCAGCCUCCUUUCUCUCUCCCUGUCCCCUUUUCUUUCCCUUUCUCUCCUCCCUCAAAGACACUAUGUCUCACCCUCUUCCCCUCCCUUGUCUUCCCAGUUGUCUAUGCUGGUGUGUCCUGUAUUAACAAAAUGGGCCAUAAGCCUGAGCCUUGGGGUUAUCACAGAGAAUUUAGCUUCACUCACUCUUGGGCCAAUUUCACUAUAAAGAGUUUUAUUUCCAGUAGAUUUCCAAAAUUAAAUGAUCAUUAUACCACAGUGUCUUAGUCUGUUUUCGUGUUGCUAUAAAGAAAAUACCUGAGGCUGGGUAGUCUAUAAAGAAAUGGCGCAGCCAGGCAUGGUGGCUCACUGCCUGUAAUCCCAGCACUUUGGGAGGCCAAGGAUGGGUGGACUGCUUGAGCUCAGGAGUUUGAGAUCAGCUUAGGCAACAUCUUUGUAGAGAUGGCAAAACCCCAUCUCUACAAAAAAUACAAAAAUUAGCCAGGCAUGGUGGCACAUGCCUGUGGUCUCAGCUACUAGGGAGACUGAGGUGAAGGACUGCUUGAGCCCAAGGAGAUUGAGGCUGCAAUAAGCCAACAUUGCACCACUGCACUCCAGCCUGGGUAACAGAGACUCUGUCCCACACCCCCCACCCACCCUCCCCGAAAAAAAAGAAAGAAAAAGAAAAGAAAUAGUUGGCGGCUAUACUACGCAAGAGGCAUGGCGCCAGCAUCUACUUCUGGUGAGAGCUUCAGGCUGCUUCCUCUCAUGGCAGAAGGCUAGCCAAUUAGAGAUCACAUAGCAAGAGAGAGGAACGAAGAGGGUAGGGGAGUGGUGCCAGACUCUUUUUAACAACUAGCUCUUGUGGGAACUCAUAAAGGGAGAACUCACCCAUUACCUCUAGGAGGGCACCAAGCCAUUAACGAGGGAUCUGCCCCCAUAACCCAAAUAUCUCCCAAUAAGCCCCACCUCCAACAUUAGGAAUCAAAUUUCAACAUGAGGUUUGGGGACAAAGAGCCAAACUAGCACACAGCAACCAGAUCUUGAAUCUUCUUUGGCCUCAUUAAAAUGAAGGCUGAUCCCUGUACUACUCCUUCCCCAGCCCCUGAGCUACCCGGGGCAGACCUUCCAAACUCCCAAGAACCUAUUGUGAGCCAAGGAUGUCAACAAAGCUAACAAUUGACACAGUAUCAAUGGUAUUUGGAUCACGGCAGCUUCUAUCCCAAUUAAGCCUAUACACCCGGCCACUGUUUUUAAAAAACACACUUCAGCACAGUCUUGACUAUGACAUUCAGUCUGGAAUAAGGGCAAUCCUGAAAUGCUUGUUGAAUGAGUCAAGCUCAUCUUUUUUCUGAGUUUAAAUAGAAUAACUAUGGAGCAUAGUGGACUGGAACCACCAGGCACUAGUCAGGUGUCUACUGCUGAUCAAAUGUAAUCUGAGAGGGCCCUUAAUCUCUGAGCCUCAGUCUCUUUACCAUAAAUAUGUCUAAGGUCCCUUCAAGAACUAACGUGACAUGAUAUUCUGUCAGUCUUGACUAAAUGUUCUGCUUAUUUGAAUUCAGAUCAUGGUCUCCACCGUCUCUACGCUCUUUUGAAAACCACACCCAACACAACCAAAGCUAAAAAUAGCUAGAGAGAGACACUAAGGAAAAGAUCUAAACAAAGUUCUAUGGCAGAGAUCUCAUCCAUCAGACUUCGACAACUAUUAGGAGGGCUGAAUCCAGGCUACCAAGGGAACACUUUAAGAAUAUUCUGGUCAUCACAUAAUUUGUAGACUCAUGUAAACUUAUAUUCAUUCCCUUAUUAAACACUGUGUACUGUAUAUAAGGUACUACGAAAGAGGCAAAGUCCCUUCUCUCUUAGAGGGCUUGUAUAUUUAUUUUACUUAAUCAAGGCCUUAUCAUGUCCUUCAUUUUCCCAUUGCUCAAAAGAUUGACUGCUGUAAAUUAAGCCAUGUGUACUCCUACAGCCAGGUCUUAAAGGAAAUAAAAGCUAUAAAAUAAGAUUUCAAAAUGAUGUCUGCCUUCCCUGACAUCAACUAAUUGCAUGAUUUACCUCCAUUUAUACCUCCUUUCUUCUACAUGCAAUAAAGAAUCUCGUUUUGAAACCUUUUCCUUAUCUUUAAUAUUUAAAGGGAAUUUAAACAUUUCUCCCAAAGGACGUUUUGUUCAUGGGCAAAGUACCUCUUGAAAAUAUACAGUGGGUAGGAGAAGCACAAGAACUUCGAUGUGGUACAGAAAGGACGACAGGUAAUAUGAGUAUAUCAGUAUAUACAUGUGGACAUCACCAUAAAGUUUCUAAGUCCUCCAUUUUAAAAUAUAUUUUUAUGUAUAUAGUUAAAUUAUUUUCAGCUAUUAAGAGUUCUACGUAUUUGAGAUGAAAGAAGUCUCUUCCAUUGCUGUUUAAGCUUGGUUUUACUAGGAGGGUCUAAAAACCAUUUGAAGCCUUGAUAAGUUUUAUUAUAAGGUCUUAGUCUAUUUAACUGUUGUUGUCUUUGAUUUCAAUGUCCCACCACCUGCAGAGUGUGAAUUCUAGGAAUAUGCGUAUGUUAAGAAAGUCUAUGAAGCAACUGGUAGAAUUUAUGUUUAAUAGAAGUCAAUUAAGACCUUCUAGAGGCACGGUGACAACUUGCUAAGAAAGUGUGAUAAAGACAGAUCAGCUCCAGCAAGGCAAAAUAGAAACUUGACUAUCAUUAACUUUGAAAUUAAUGCAGCAAAACAGAAACUACCUUCUGGCUAAUUUGCCUAACACAGUUUCAUGAUCCCCAAAUGUUGCUCUACGGAAAUAGUCAAGAAAAUUCUUAGUUGAGAACAUGAUAUGACAUUCUCCUGUUUUCCUGCCAUGUCACUAUCCACACUCCUUAAUCUCCUCGGUUGCCUCCUCCUCCUCAUCCUCCCCACCUAUGCAUGCUAGAAUGGCCCCAGGGCUCAAUCAUUUGCGUGUCCUCCUCUCUUUUCUAUCUAUACUCAACCCUUAAGUAAUUUCAUGGCUUUAAAUUUAUACCUACAGUCCAGAUCUUCCCCCAAGAGAUGUCUUGUCUAUGUGACAUCUCCAUUUGAAUGUCUAAUGGACACAUCAAACUUAAUACAUCCAAAACUGAACUGAUUUCCAGUCUGAUUCUCCAUCAGUCUUCCUAUUUCAGGAGAGAAGUUUAUAAUUGUUCAGCCCCAAAAUCUUGGAGUCAUCUUUGAUCACUUCUUUGAAUAUGACUACCAUAUUCAUAGAAUUCAUACAUAUUCAUAUAAAUCAUCAGCAAAUCUCGUUGGGCCUACCUUCAACAUCUAUCUAGAAUCUGAGUCCUUCCUGCUGCUUCACCAAGCCAACAACUUCUCUCACCACAAAUACCUUUUUUUUUUUUUUUUUUUUUUUUUUUUUUUUUUUUUUUGAGACAGAGUCUCCCUCUGUUGCCCAGGCUGGAGUGCAGUGGCACGAUCUCAGCUCACUGCAACCUCCACCUCCUGGGUUCAAGCGAUUCUCCUGCCUCAGCCUCCAGAGUAACUGGGAUAUUACAGGCAUGUGCCACCACGCCCAGCUUUUUGUAUUUUCAGGUGAGAUGUGGUUUCACCAUAUUGGCCAGGCUGGUCUUGAACUCCUGACCUCAAGUGAUCCACCUGCCUCGGCCUUCCAAAGUGCUAGGAUUAUAGGCGUGAGCCACAGCAUCCAGCCUCUCACCUCAAAUACUGAAAGAGCUCCCUAACUGGUCUCUUGCCUCUACCCCUGCCCUGAUAUAGUCUACCCAACAUGGCAGCCACAACAGUCAUUUUAGAAGGCACAUCAGAUCUUGUCAUUACUCUGCUCAAAACCUUCCAAUACUUUCCCAUCUCAGAGUUAAAAGCCUAAAAACUGCAUGAGGCCCUAUACAAUCUCCCCUGCCCUUUCUCUUUGAUCUUACCUACUACUCUCCCUCUCCCUCAGCUCCAGCCAUACUGGACUCCUUGCUGUUACCAGCACAAACUAGUGACUGUCCCACUCAGGGUCUUCGCACUUGCUGUUUCUUCUGCGUGCAAUGCUGUGCCCCCAGGUGAUCCAUCUGGCCUGCUUCCUCAUGUCCUUCAAGGCUCUGUUCAAAUGUCACCCUCCCUGUGAGGCCUUCCCUAACCAUCUUAUUUAAAAUCACAACCCCACCAUCCCACCACUCUGCUGGCAUGUCCCUAAAUCCACUCCCCUGCUUUAUUUUUCCUCAUAGCACUUAUUAACAUCUGGAGAACUAUAUACAGUCGGCACUUCACGUGGACUCCGCAUCCACAGAUUCAACCAAGCACAGAUUGAAAAUGUAGUUAGGCCUACAAUGGUUGCAUCUGUACUGAACAUGUACAGACUUCUUUUCUUGUCAUUAUUCCCUAAACAAUACAGUAUAACAACUAUUUACAUAACAUUACAACGUAACAGGUAUUGUAAGUAAUCUAGAGAUGACAAAGUGUACAGGAAAAUGUUCAUAGGUUAUAUACAAAUGCUACAACAUUUUAUUAUAAGAGACUUCAGCAUCCGAGGAUUUUGGUGUGGGGGACACUCUAGAAUCCAUCCCCCAUGGUUACGGAGAGAUGAUUGUAUUUUCAUUAUCUCUUUACACUAGAACGUAUGCUCCAUGAUGGCAGGGAUUUCUGACUGCUUUCUUCACAGCUGUCCCCAGUGCCUAAAAAACCGACUACAGAUAGAUGCUUUCAAAACUGUUGGAUGAAUGAUACUGAAAUAUUACAAGGCAAAAUACAUUAUUACCUGAAUACAUUAAAUAUUAUGAGAAGCAGAAAUCCCAAUCACCCACACUCACACAGUUUUGCAAAAAGAGACAUCAUAGUUUGUUUCUUAAAAAUGCAUUAAAGUCUAAUUGAUGGUUUUGUUAACAUCAUUCUCUCUGUGCCUAAAGAGUCCUAGGUCACACCUAAAAGGUACAGUUUUAGCUUCAGUAGGCAAACGGAAAAGAAAAAUACAGGCUUUUUUCCUUUCAUUAGUCAUCACUGACAGAAGGCCUCCAAGUGACCCUGGUGCCACAAAUGUUUAGGAUCUUUAGGGAAGAAAGGAGUCUAGAAAAAUAACAAUAUUCCUUCACCAAUCUCGAGAAGAAUCUCUCCAAAUCUCUCUGCAGACAUUUUUUCUUCAUAUCCUUUAACAAAGCCAUUCUUAACAUGUACAUGAAAUCUUAGUUGAAGAAACAAUGUGAUUACAUAAUUACACAUACGGAAAAACUUGGUAUUCUAUUAUCUCUCCAAAUUUUUUUUUAACUAAAACUAGACUUACAGUUUUUGUUGAAAAUGUUUUGUGUUUCUACCUCCGAAGAAUAUGAAAAAAAGAAAAUGUUUUGCUCUGAAGCUGAGUUAAGAAGAAGAUAGCCAAGACGUGGGUUGAUGGGGACUGUAUUUUAAGGCUGAACAGUUUUGUUUACUAUUGUUUAUUAUUUAAUAUAUUCUUCCCAGUCUCCCCACCCCCACCAAAGGAAAAGCGAAAAAUUUACGUUAGUGCAAUCAAUAAGGAAUUAUUUGUCCAAAGGAAGUUGUUCUGAAAGGCUAUGACCUAAGUCUUUAACACAAAGUUCAGGCGGUAGAUGUCACUUCUCUCACCCAUUUAACAACAACAACAAAUCAAGAUUCAGAUCCCGCGGAGGCAAGCAGAAAGGAACAGGCGUGAAAAAUGAAAUCAGUUGUUUCUCCCCGGCCUCCUCUCGACACUGCGCACUCCGCUGCCCUGCCCCCGCCCAUCGCCCUUUAGCGGCCCCUUUUAACGGCGUCGUUUGCCCAGCACAGCCCCGCACUGCGCCAUCAAAUGAGUCAAGCGGAAGGACCGGUACCCCUCCGGGAAAACCAGGCACUAACACACGGUGCACCCAACUGAAUUUAAACUCGGGAACAGUGUAGGCAGUGUCAACAAAGCGCGGUGCUGGGUCCCGAGCGUCCAAAGGUCCCUGCCAGCUCCCAGACGCGGCCAAAUCCACAGGAUUCCAAAAGGUAGCCAAGAAAUAUUCACAUGAAGGGACAAUGGGAGAGGAGCUGGCAAGAGUUUGGGCAGUACUUGGAAGAUGCAUUCCUUAUCAUAUAGAUUACAUAUGGCAGUGAAUUGACAGAGGAUUCACUGGGACAUCUUCAGAAAGAUAUCUGAAAAGGAGAGACUCUAUGGAGUGUGGAUGUAGAAAAGGAGUUAUUCCUACCGGAAAAAAAUGAACUGUGGACACAGUCACUCAAGACCAGAGAAACAACCACUAUGAGUAAGUAGCUUCAAUUUCACUGUUACCAGGAGGGCACACACCAGAAAGCCUGGGACAAAGCCUGGGCUAGAGCCCUCAGGAUUCAUUCUCAGGCUUCCUGGUGCUGUGGUUCAACAGCCUUUGUGGGGAUGGGGAGAACCAGAGACUAUCACCAUCACAUGUAAAAAAUAUUACCACAGCAACAGCUGUCAAAAACCAGCUGGAGCUGAAGUUACACACCAUUUGAAAUCCACACUGUACUUGCUUUCUUGUGAUGGGCUUGAGACAUGUGCAGAGACACCUUAAACAUGUGUAGGUGACCACCCUUUUGAAAGGCAGAGGAGGGCCUCUUCAUGAACUCUUUCUACUCAUUUGUUUUCCUAUCAGUUCACCAUUUCAACUAGAAAAGAUGC